GCACAGAGGAGAGAUGGAGAAAGAUAAUAGCCCUGUCAUUGAAGAGCCUAAGACUGACUGGAGACUGUCUAAGGGCCUGCAGGACCUCCUCACCUGCCCUGUCUGUGGAAGCUUUUAUAAUGAUCCUAUAACGGAUGAUUCUGGCAAAACCUUCUGCCAGGGCUGCCUCCCUCAGGGAUCCCAGCUUUCCUACCUCCAUACCAACUGGAAAAUGCAGAGCAUGGUACAAGUGGCCAAGCAGCUGAAGCCCUUCCUUGAGCAGCCCCAGGGCCUCUUAGAGGACUGGUGCACCAAACACCAGGAAUGCUUGAGCUUUCUCUGUCGAGAAGACAAGGAGAAAAUCUGCUGGGUCUGUAGCUACUCCAGGCUUUACCAGGGCCAUACCCUGACCCAACUGCAAGACCCCAAACUGGAGGUAAGUCAGCUCCUGAGGGAGAGUCCAGGAAGGCAAGAGGCCUGGUUGUGACUUGCAGGAUAAAGAAGUCAGGAGGAAGCUUAGAAGGACUCCCAGGGAAGCAUUCUGGGAAAUCUUCCCAUCCCAGCCCCUUGCACAGUCUAUCCUUCUUGUCUACAAGAUUCUCCCUCUGCAUCCAGCUACUUGGAAUCCUGGGAGUCACUUAACAAUGAAAUCCCUCCUUGAUCCUUCAUUCUUAUCUCUCAAAUUCCAUCCUUUCCAAUGCUCUGUGCCCAUGUCAGAUCUCCCCAAGUUCUCAGGGGUGAAGGCUCUGAACGAAUCUUUGGGAUCUUAGACCACGGAAUCAUGCUUUACACUGAGGAAGCCAUUGGUCAGUGCUCUUGGAAGUGAGUUCUUUUUCCUUUCCAGGAUAAUUCUGAAGAAGGCAAAAAGAAGAAGAAGAAAAGGAAGAAGGACUAGACCACGGAAUUGUCUUCCACUGGGGCAGGAUACAGGGCCCCAUAUGACACUGUUUGCACCUUUACCCAAACCCUUAUGGACUCCUGCCUGGAAUCCCAGCCAGUCAGUCAUGGACCCUUUCUCAAGGACGAGAGGAUCCAGAACAGAAGAAAUUUCAGAUUGAAGCAUCUUCCCAGACUAGAUUGUCAAACUGAUUCAGCCCUGGCAGCUAGUGGCCUCUUGGGACACUACUUGAAGUUUUUUAUCUGAAGAUCAUCUAAUAAAAUGGCUCUUACCCACUGGGC
rnacentral:lncRNA from 1 species